rfam:Trichobilharzia regenti genome assembly, scaffold: TRE_scaffold0008872
GUGCUGAUGAAGAGUCCCAAACUAGGACGAAACAGCCGUCCAGUAC